GAUGAACGCUAGCGGCAGGCCUAACACAUGCAAGUCGAGGGGGAGGUUACUUUCGGGUAACUGAGACCGGCGUACGGGUGCGUAACGCGUAUACAAUCUGCCUUUCACUGGGGGAUAGCCCGAAGAAAUUUGGAUUAAUACCCCAUAGUAUAGUAAUACGGCAUCGUGAUGCUAUUAAAGCUUAGGUGGUGAAAGAUGAGUAUGCGUUCUAUUAGCUAGUUGGAGAGGUAACGGCUCCCCAAGGCGAUGAUAGAUAGGGGUUCUGAGAGGGAUGUCCCCCACACUGGUACUGAGAUACGGACCAGACUCCUACGGGAGGCAGCAGUGAGGAAUAUUGGACAAUGGUCGGAAGACUGAUCCAGCCAUGCCGCGUGCAGGAUGAAGGUCUUAUGGAUUGUAAACUGCUUUUGUAAGGGAAGAAUAAGGGCUACGCGUAGUUUGAUGACAGUACCUUACGAAUAAGCAUCGGCUAACUCCGUG
rnacentral:rRNA from 1 species